rnacentral:rRNA from 1 species
GACGAACGCUGGCGGUGUGCUUAACACAUGCAAGUGGUGCGACGAACCAGAGCUUGCUCUGGGGCAAAGCCGCGAACGGGUGUGUAACACGUGGGUAAUCUACCCCGAUGACCGGGACAACCCGAGGAAACUCGGGCUAAUACCGGAUGUGGUACGGAGACAUAAGUCUCUUUACUAAAGGUAGCUUCGGCUUCCGCAUUGGGAGGGGCCCGCGGCCCAUUAGCUAGUUGGUGGGGUCAAGGCCUACCAAGGCAACGAUGGGUAGCUGGUCUGAGAGGACGAUCAGCCACACUGGGACUGAGACACGGCCCAGACUCCUACGGGAGGCAGCAGUGGGGAAUCUUGCGCAAUGCGCGAAAGCGUGACGCAGCAACACCGCGUGAGGGAAGACGGCCUUAGGGUUGUAAACCUCUUUCAGAUGGGACGAAGGUGAUGCGGUGAAUAGCCGAUGUCAUUGACGGUACCGUCAGAAGAAGCUCCGGCUAACUACGUGCCAGCAGCCGCGGUAAU